UCGGUUGAUGCAUAUGAUGGUUGAGCAUUAUUUGCUGAUGUGGCUGCCAUAUGAGCUUGUGGAGGCUUUGGUCCAAGAAUUCCUUGCUGGCGAGGAGUGGACUGAUGUUGCCAAUUUGGCGUAGUUGGGUACGGACAUGGUGGCGUGGCCCAUGGUUGCCACGGUGCAGCCCAAGGUGGAACAGCCCACUGUUGUUGUU
rnacentral:lncRNA from 1 species